rnacentral:lncRNA from 1 species
UUCUGCGUUACCACAGUCAUCAGAGUCCAAUUUACUCUUCAGGGGCCCUAAUCAUUCUAUACCUGAACUGGACAGAAAGAAAAUAAUUUGUUCACUUAACAGAAAGAAAGUCUAUACUCCCAAAACAAAAUGAGUCAGACAGUGAUCUUUGAAUUAACAGGCUCUGCUGACGGACUAUUUUCCCCACUUUUCAUCAGUCUGGUGACAGUGGACUCUGGACAGAGAUAAAUGAGAGGUCAAGCUACCCUUCAUUUUUCCAGAGGAUUAUUUCACCCACAGAUAAGGCACGAAGAAGGAAGUAAUAGUCAAGACCAGCCUGUGAGAAAACAACAAAAAAAGGAUAACUAACAAAAGCCCCAUUCUCCAGCUCUUGCCCCGGCCAGCGCUUCAGCACGGUGAAAAUUCUAACAAGGAGCAAACAGCAAAGAACUGAAAUGCUAUACAGACUCCAGUGAGAAAAAACUGAGGUAAUUGGUUUCGGUGUGCUGGUGCUUGAAACUCUAUCCCAGUGCUUCCUUCAACUAAGGCUGCAAAUUGAAAAUGUGAAGAACCUUGCCUGCUUGAACCAGCCUGGGCUUGUGGCAGCAUCAUUCUGUCACUUAAUUCUUCUCACAGAGAUCACAUAGCUUUGCUUCCAUACCUAAAUUACUACAAAUUUGUGUCCGCUUGAAUGUUAUGUAAUUUAACCAGAAAUUGAAGAAAUACCACCAUUUUAAAGAAAAUAUGGUCAUAAACACUAUGGAAUACUAUGCAACCAUAACAAGAAUGAAAUCAUGUCCUUUGCAGCAACAUGGAUGUAGCUGGAGGCCAUUAUCCUGGGCAAAUUUGCAGGAGCAGAAAACCAGAUACCACAUCUCACAUGUAAGUGGGAGCUAAGCAUUUGGUAUACAUGGAUAUAAAGAUGGGAAAAAUAGACACUUGGUGACUAUUAGAGAGAGGAAAGAGGGAGAAGGGAGAAGCUAAAAACUACCUGUUGGGUAUUAUGCUCACUACUUGGGUGAUGGGAUCGUUUGUACCCCAAGCCUCAGCAUCACACGGUAUACCCAUGUAACAAACCUGCACACGGAUCCCCUGAAUCUAAAAUAAAAGUUGAAAUUAUUGUUUAAAAAAAAGGAUCUAAUAAACAUAGUAUUACAAUGUUGAUGCAUCCCUUAUUUUUAUUUAUUUAUUUAUUUUUGAGAUGCAACCUCCACCUCCUGGGUUCAAGCGAUUCUCCUGCCUCAGCCUCCUGAGUAGCAGGGAUUACAGGUGCAUGCCACCAUGCCCAGCUAAUUUUUUAUAUCUUUAGUAGAGACGGGGUUUCACCAUGUUGGCCAGGCUGGUCUCAAACUCCUGACUUUGUGAUCCACCUGCUUCGGCCUCCCAAAGUGCUGGGAUUUCAGGCGUGAGCCACCGCGCCC